rnacentral:rRNA from 1 species
UGCAGUCGAGCGCAUCGAUGGGAGCUUGCUCCCUGAAGUGAGCGGCGGAUGGGUGAGUAACACGUGGGUAACCUGCCUGUCAGAUCGGGAUAACUGUGGGAAACCGCAGCUAAUACCGGAUAAUCCUUCGCACCGCAUGGUGCGGAGUUGAAAGAUGGUUUCGGCCAUCACUGACAGAUGGGCCCGCGGUGCAUUAGUUAGUUGGCGGGGUAACGGCCCACCAAGACAGCGAUGCAUAGCCGACCUGAGAGGGUGAUCGGCCACAUUGGGACUGAGACACGGCCCAAACUCCUACGGGAGGCAGCAGUAGGGAAUCUUCCACAAUGGACGAAAGUCUGAUGGAGCAACGCCGCGUGAGCGAAGAAGGUUUUCGGAUCGUAAAGCUCUGUUGCUGGAGAAGAACGAGUGCGAGAGGAAAUGCUCGUACUGUGACGGUAUCCAGCCAGAAAGCCACGGCUAACUACGUGCCAGCAGCCGCGGUAAUACGUAGGUGGCAAGCGUUGUCCGGAAUUAUUGGGCGUAAAGCGCGCGCAGGCGGCUUCUUAAGUCUGAUGUGAAAUCUUGCGGCUCAACCGCAAACGGUCAUUGGAAACUGGGAAGCUUGAGUGCAGAAGAGGAGAGUAGAAUUCCACGUGUAGCGGUGAAAUGCGUAGAGAUGUGGAGGAAUACCAGUGGCGAAGGCGGCUCUCUGGUCUGUAACUGACGCUGAGGCGCGAAAGCGUGGGGAGCAAACAGGAUUAGAUACCCUGGUAGUCCACGCCGUAAACGAUGAAUGCUAGGUGUUUAGGGGGGUCCAACCUCUUAGUGCUGAAGUUAACACAUUAAGCAUUCCGCCUGGGGAGUACGACCGCAGGGUUGAAACUCAGAGGAAUUGACGG